rnacentral:misc_RNA from 1 species
UUUCCGUAGGUGAACCUGCGGAAGGAUCAUUCAUAAUAAAGUGUUUUAUGGCACUUUUUAAAAAUCCCUAUCCACCUUGUGUGCAAUGUUAGAUCUCGUCAAUCUUGGCGAGAUUUUUAUACAUCAACUCAUUUUUUAACUAAUUUGUCUGAAAAAUAUUAUGAAUACUUAAUUCAAAAUACAACUUUCAACAACGGAUCUCUUGGCUCUC